AAUUUGGUGGUGUGGUGCUGUAUUUUUGUUAAAAGUUCGCGGUCGAGGUCGAAGUCGAGGUCGAGGUCGAGGUCGAGGUCGAGAGCGACAACAUUGACACUAGGAGAGAAGUAGUCAUCAACACAUUGUGUGAAUACCUGCCUGAAGACAGUGAUAGCCUGAUUAAAGAAUACUUGGAUAUACAGGGAGAUAACAUAAUGAAACACCUUGAGCAAACUGUCAUGGGAAUAUUUGUGAUCAGGAAGGAAGGUACGGCAGCAUAUGAACCCCCUGAAGAUGUCGACAUUGUAAUCAAGUGUGUGAAAGUGAUACAUGAUCUGAGAAGUGUGGCCAAUGCUUGUGCCUUGCUAAUGGGUUUGAUAUGUGCACUCAAUUUAACCAAAGGAACUCAAAUACACCUUUGAAGUAAUCCAAACGGUGUUUAUGGAGUUAGACAUAAAUUGUAUUCAAAAGUGCAAGGACUAAAGAACAAAAUAAGUUGAUCCAGGAGCUGUCGCUUAAGGCCAGCACAAACCUGGACAACUCUGCACCUUUGUUCACGAAUAAAUUGUAUUUCAUCACUUGCACUUAAAGAACUCACUUUGGA